UUGAAUUCAUAUUUAUCCCGUGAGGGAAAGCCGAUAACUUGGCAAAUUUUAUUUUUUAAUAAAAUAGUUUUGUUGUCGCAGUUAGGGAUACGAGAGUAUGGAAACAAGUGGCAGUAUAGUGGUAAGGUGCUUUGGUGCCGGAGACGUCGUGUAAAGAGGUACCGGUACAAGCCUAAGGACCUAACCUGACGUUACGGUACGGUACCGGUAACAGUUACUGUGGACUGUGGAUGAAGUCAAGUGUUGAGCUGACAAUGACAAGGGGUUGAGGGUGUCAGCACAUCAAACAGAUGUGGUGAUCGGAGACAGGGAAUUUUAAGAUUUGCUCAGUGAAAAGCGAGGUACAAAAAAAUUGGACUUGGUUGAAGAGCGAGUGUUGUGUUCAUGCACAGAGUGUGUUGGAGUGUGGUCAAGUCUUUUCCACUAGCAAGCAGGCAGGCAUCAUCGGCGAAGAGCUUGGUUAGAAGAUUUGAGCAGUUUGACAAGUCAUUUAACCCUAACCCUGGACAAUUUCGCACUGAAUGGGCAACAUUGGGGACUUUUGAGAACCUAAUUCAACAAAUCGAAAACAACCA